AUAAAGUGCUAUAUUAACGUCAAUGGAACAAAGUACAAUUAAAAGUAGGUAUGUAUCAUGUUGUUGCGUCAUAUUAUAGGGAUAUUAUAUAGGACCAUUGCAGCUCUGACACAUUAUACUUUCAGUAGUCGAGUGUUGUAGACGACUCAACAUGAAGCUCCCGUGCAUUUUCGUGAUAGUGGCACUAUGUGCUACACUGUGUAACGCUCACAGGAUUGCUCAACGAGAAUCUUCCGUCAAUAUGAGGGUCAAGAGGCAAGCCAUAAUAAAUACAGGAACAAAAAAUUGCGCAUCUGCACAUGUUUCAACAAAUAAUGGACCCUGCAUUCCAUGUGAAGUAUAUUUGAAAGAGAACUCAGGGACAAACAGAAUAAUUCCUAAGGAAUGUAGCCACGUCACUGGAAGGAGCACCAUCACUAAUCCCUCCCACUACUCUUUAUAUUACGUAAUAUUAAUAGUUCUAACAGUCCUGAAUAAGAGGUACCUACUCAAUUAAACAUUAAUUCUUAUAACAAUAAUCUUAUACGCGAUUGAGUCAAAUAUGUUUAGUAUUAUAUUUGGGUUUUACAAAUUAAUAGAUUGUGUGUGUAUUUAAUCUUUAUAAAAGUUUGAUAACCCCUCGUCUGUCGGUAUAUGAGACACAAUAGAAAACAUAUUGUCAUAGAUCUACGUUCAUACAUACAACUUUGUAUUACAUCUGGCUCAAUCAUGAUGCAUAUAGACUGAGGGAAAUUUACCACAAAUAACACACUCAGCUUCCCUAUAUAUGUUAUAAGUUCUAAAAAGUGCUUAAUGAUUAAACUUAAGCUCACUAAUCCCUUUUUUUGGCAACACCCAAUGAUAGAUAGAGAAUGUCCGUCUUUUAUAUUCAGAGAGCCUGUUUCAAAAUGUCUGGAUAGCCGCUAUGUAUGAUUUUAGAACAUAAUUUUGUAUGAAACAUGAAGCGGUGGAGCACAAAUGCUAAGUGUAAAUAUAAAAUUGUUAUCUGUUUAAAUGCUUUAACAAAUAUGUGCCAUUCAUGUGCCUACUUACGUUAAUUUUAAGAUAUAUAUUGUCACAUAAGUAUAGUGUACAAUAAACUAUGAUAUAAAAAGGUUUUA